rnacentral:pre_miRNA from 1 species
UUACUACUCCCUUCGUUCGGAAAUGUUUGUCAUUAAAUGAAUAAAAUGAGGUGUAUCUAAAUGUAUAUUAAUUCUAAAUAUAUUCAUUUUUAUCUAUUUUGAUCAAGUAUUUUCGGACGAAGGAAGUAUUUU